rnacentral:rRNA from 1 species
UAAGUUGCAGGGUAUAGACCCGAAACCCGGUGAUCUAGCCAUGGGCAGGUUGAAGGUUGGGUAACACUAACUGGAGGACCGAACCGACUAAUGUUGAAAAAUUAGCGGAUGACCUGUGGCUGGGGGUGAAAGGCCAAUCAAACCGGGAGAUAGCUGGUUCUCCCCGAAAGCUAUUUAGGUAGCGCCUCGUGAAUUCAUCUCCGGGGGUAGAGCACUGUUUCGGCUAGGGGGCCAUCCCGGCUUACCAACCCGAUGCAAACUGCGAAUACCGGAGAAUGUUAUCACGGGAGACACACGGCGGGUGCUAACGUCCGUCGUGAAGAGGGAAACAACCCAGACCGCCAGCUAAGGUCCCAAAGUCAUGGUUAAGUGGGAAACGAUGUGGGAAGGCCCAGACAGCCAGGAUGUUGGCUUAGAAGCAGCCAUCAUUUAAAGAAAGCGUAAUAGCUCACUGGUCGAGUCGGCCUGCGCGGAAGAUGUAACGGGGCUAAACCAUGCACCGAAGCUGCGGCAGCGACACUGUGUGUUGUUGGGUAGGGGAGCGUUCUGUAAGCCUGUGAAGGUGUGUCGUGAGGCAUGCUGGAGGUAUCAGAAGUGCGAAUGCUGACAUAAGUAACGAUAAAGCGGGUGAAAAGCCCGCUCGCCGGAAGACCAAGGGUUCCUGUCCAACGUUAAUCGGGGCAGGGUGAGUCGACCCCUAAGGCGAGGCCGAAAGGCGUAGUCGAUGGGAAACGGGUUAAUAUUCCCGUACUUGGUGUUACUGCGAAGGGGGGACGGAGAAGGCUAUGUUGGCCGGGCGACGGUUGUCCCGGUUUAAGCGUGUAGGUGUGUGUUCCAGGUAAAUCCGGUUCACUUUAACACUGAGGCGUGACGACGAGGCACUACGGUGCUGAAGCAACAAAUGCCCUGCUUCCAGGAAAAGCCUCUAAGCAUCAGGUAACAUCAAAUCGUACCCCAAACCGACACAGGUGGUCAGGUAGAGAAUACCAAGGCGCUUGAGAGAACUCGGGUGAAGGAACUAGGCAAAAUGGUGCCGUAACUUCGGGAGAAGGCACGCUGACACGUAGGUGAAGUGAUUUACUCAUGGAGCUGAAGUCAGUCGAAGAUACCAGCUGGCUGCAACUGUUUAUUAAAAACACAGCACUGUGCAAACACGAAAGUGGACGUAUACGGUGUGACGCCUGCCCGGUGCCGGAAGGUUAAUUGAUGGGGUCAGCGCAAGCGAAGCUCCUGAUCGAAGCCCCGGUAAACGGCGGCCGUAACUAUAACGGUCCUAAGGUAGCGAAAUUCCUUGUCGGGUAAGUUCCGACCUGCACGAAUGGCGUAAUGAUGGCCAGGCUGUCUCCACCCGAGACUCAGUGAAAUUGAACUCGCUGUGAAGAUGCAGUGUACCCGCGGCAAGACGGAAAGACCCCGUGAACCUUUACUAUAGCUUGACACUGAACAUUGAGCCUUGAUGUGUAGGAUAGGUGGGAGGCUUUGAAGUGUGGACGCCAGUCUGCAUGGAGCCGACCUUGAAAUACCACCCUUUAAUGUUUGAUGUUCUAACGUGGACCCGUUACCCGGGUUGCGGACAGUGUCUGGUGGGUAGUUUGACUGGGGCGGUCUCCUCCUAAAGAGUAACGGAGGAGCACGAAGGUUGGCUAAUCCUGGUCGGACAUCAGGAGGUUAGUGCAAUGGCAUAAGCCAGCUUGACUGCGAGCGUGACGGCGCGAGCAGGUGCGAAAGCAGGUCAUAGUGAUCCGGUGGUUCUGAAUGGAAGGGCCAUCGCUCAACGGAUAAAAGGUACUCCGGGGAUAACAGGCUGAUACCGCCCAAGAGUUCAUAUCGACGGCGGUGUUUGGCACCUCGAUGUCGGCUCAUCACAUCCUGGGGCUGAAGUAGGUCCCAAGGGUAUGGCUGUUCGCCAUUUAAAGUGGUACGCGAGCUGGGUUUAGAACGUCGUGAGACAGUUCGGUCCCUAUCUGCCGUGGGCGCUGGAGAACUGAGGGGGGCUGCUCCUAGUACGAGAGGACCGGAGUGGACGCAUCACUGGUGUUCGGGUUGUCAUGCCAAUGGCACUGCCCGGUAGCUAAAUGCGGAAGAGAUAAGUGCUGAAAGCAUCUAAGCACGAAACUUGCCCCGAG